AGAGAGAGACAUGCGCGCAUAUCAAUAAGCGGAGGAAAAGAAACUAACUAGGAUUCCCUCAGUAACGGCGAGUGAAGCGGGAAGAGCUCAAAUUUGAAAUCUUCAAGGGUUCUACCUUUACGAAUUGUAGUUUAAAGAAGUGUUUUCUGUUGAGGUUUUGGUAAAAGUUCUUUGGAAUAGGACAUCAUAGAGGGUGAGAAUCCCGUAUUUGACCAUUAUUUCCAGCUUUGUGAUACACUUUCAAAGAGUCGGAUUGUUUGGGAAUGCAGUCCAAAAUGGGUGGUAAAUUUCAUCUAAAGCUAAAUACUGGCGAGAGACCGAUAGCGAACAAGUACCGUGAGGGAAAGAUGAAAAGAACUUUGAAAAGAGAGUUAAACAGUACGUGAAAUUGUCAAAAGGGAAGCGUUUGACACCAGUGUUGUUUUCUCGAAAAUCAAUUAAAAAAGGCAGGAUUUUGUGUUGUAUUGACUUUAUCAGCUUUCUGCACUCUUUUCUUGUCUUUUUUUAAUGCACUUUUCGUUUAACAAGUCAACAUCAAUUUCUUUUGUUGUAAAAGGGUCAUUGGAAGGUGGCUUUCUUUUCGGAGAAAGUGUUUAUAGCCUUUGGCCUCUGCAAUCGGAGAGAUUGAGGUCUGCAGCGUAGAUCCUUCGGGGUUAGAUACAUUUGUGCUAAGUUAUAGCCUUUCAUAGACAACUUGUUGACUAUGAUCAGUCAUGUAGCUUACUCGCUUAUGUUAUUUUACCUACGCUUAGGAUGUUGAUGUGAUACUGCGAGC
rnacentral:rRNA from 1 species